rnacentral:sRNA from 2 species
AUAUCUCUCUGUACGGGAAGGAUGAGAAGCUUCGACUAAGGUUCGAUUCGAGCGUCAGCGAGAAAGCGUUGCCGCAGGCAACGACCCGAAGGGCGAAGCGCG